rnacentral:tRNA from 1 species
UGGCUGAUUGCCCGAUUAGGUGUAGUACUGUAGAUACUAUAAUUGUAUCAGCCAU